rnacentral:rRNA from 1 species
GUCAGCCGCCGCGGUAACACCGGCGGCCCGAGUGGUGAUCGUGAUUAUUGGGUCUAAAGGGUCCGUAGCCGGUUUGGUCAGUCCUCCGGGAAAUCUGAUAGCUCAACUAUUAGGCUUUCGGGGGAUACUGCCAGACUUGGAACCGGGAGAGGUAAGAGGUACUACAGGGGUAGGAGUGAAAUCUUGUAAUCCCUGUGGGACCACCUGUGGCGAAGGCGUCUUACCAGAACGGGUUCGACGGUGAGGGACGAAAGCUGGGGGCACGAACCGGAUUAGAUACCCGGGUAGUCCCAGCCGUAAACGAUGCUCGCUAGGUGUCAGGCAUGGCGCGACCGUGUCUGGUGCCGCAGGGAAGCCGUGAAGCGAGCCACCUGGGAAGUACGGCCGCAAGGCUGAAACUUAAAGGAAUUGGCGGGGGAGCACAACAACGGGUGGAGCCUGCGGUUUAAUUGGACUCAACGCCGGACAACUCACCGGGGGCGACAGCAAUAUGUAGGCCAAGCUGAAGACUUUGCCUGAAUCGCUGAGAGAAGUGGUGCAUGG